ensembl:snoRNA
CAAUGUAAAAUAAAACCUCUUUUGCAACCCGGAACUCAUUGUUCAGCUUGAGUUUUGAUACAUAUAAAAAGAAAUAUU